rnacentral:rRNA from 1 species
GGGUUGUGAGGUUAAGCGACUAAGCGUACACGGUGGAUGCCCUGGCAGUCAGAGGCGAUGAAGGACGUGCUAAUCUGCGAUAAGCGUCGGUAAGGUGAUAUGAACCGUUAUAACCGGCGAUUUCCGAAUGGGGAAACCCAGUGUGUUUCGACACACUAUCAUUAACUGAAUCCAUAGGUUAAUGAGGCGAACCGGGGGAACUGAAACAUCUAAGUACCCCGAGGAAAAGAAAUCAACCGAGAUUCCCCCAGUAGCGGCGAGCGAACGGGGAGGAGCCCAGAGCCUGAAUCAGUGUGUGUGUUAGUGGAAGCGUCUGGAAAGGCGCGCGAUACAGGGUGACAGCCCCGUACACAAAAAUGCACAUGCUGUGAGCUCGAUGAGUAGGGCGGGACACGUGGUAUCCUGUCUGAAUAUGGGGGGACCAUCCUCCAAGGCUAAAUACUCCUGACUGACCGAUAGUGAACCAGUACCGUGAGGGAAAGGCGAAAAGAACCCCGGCGAGGGGAGUGAAAAAGAACCUGAAACCGUGUACGUACAAGCAGUGGGAGCCUCUUAAUGGGGUGACUGCGUACCUUUUGUAUAAUGGGUCAGCGACUUAUAUUCUGUAGCAAGGUUAACCGAAUAGGGGAGCCGAAGGGAAACCGAGUCUUAACUGGGCGUUAAGUUGCAGGGUAUAGACCCGAAACCCGGUGAUCUAGCCAUGGGCAGGUUGAAGGUUGGGUAACACUAACUGGAGGACCGAACCGACUAAUGUUGAAAAAUUAGCGGAUGACUUGUGGCUGGGGGUGAAAGGCCAAUCAAACCGGGAGAUAGCUGGUUCUCCCCGAAAGCUAUUUAGGUAGCGCCUCGUGAAUUCAUCUCCGGGGGUAGAGCACUGUUUCGGCAAGGGGGUCAUCCCGACUUACCAACCCGAUGCAAACUGCGAAUACCGGAGAAUGUUAUCACGGGAGACACACGGCGGGUGCUAACGUCCGUCGUGAAGAGGGAAACAACCCAGACCGCCAGCUAAGGUCCCAAAGUCAUGGUUAAGUGGGAAACGAUGUGGGAAGGCCCAGACAGCCAGGAUGUUGGCUUAGAAGCAGCCAUCAUUUAAAGAAAGCGUAAUAGCUCACUGGUCGAGUCGGCCUGCGCGGAAGAUGUAACGGGGCUAAACCAUGCACCGAAGCUGCGGCAGCGACACUAUGUGUUGUUGGGUAGGGGAGCGUUCUGUAAGCCUGUGAAGGUGUACUGUGAGGUAUGCUGGAGGUAUCAGAAGUGCGAAUGCUGACAUAAGUAACGAUAAAGCGGGUGAAAAGCCCGCUCGCCGGAAGACCAAGGGUUCCUGUCCAACGUUAAUCGGGGCAGGGUGAGUCGACCCCUAAGGCGAGGCCGAAAGGCGUAGUCGAUGGGAAACAGGUUAAUAUUCCUGUACUUGGUGUUACUGCGAAGGGGGGACGGAGAAGGCUAUGUUGGCCGGGCGACGGUUGUCCCGGUUUAAGCGUGUAGGCUGGUUUUCCAGGCAAAUCCGGAAAAUCAAGGCUGAGGCGUGAUGACGAGGCACUACGGUGCUGAAGCAACAAAUGCCCUGCUUCCAGGAAAAGCCUCUAAGCAUCAGGUAACAUCAAAUCGUACCCCAAACCGACACAGGUGGUCAGGUAGAGAAUACCAAGGCGCUUGAGAGAACUCGGGUGAAGGAACUAGGCAAAAUGGUGCCGUAACUUCGGGAGAAGGCACGCUGAUAUGUAGGUGAAGUCCCUCGCGGAUGGAGCUGAAAUCAGUCGAAGAUACCAGCUGGCUGCAACUGUUUAUUAAAAACACAGCACUGUGCAAACACGAAAGUGGACGUAUACGGUGUGACGCCUGCCCGGUGCCGGAAGGUUAAUUGAUGGGGUUAGCGGUAACGCGAAGCUCUUGAUCGAAGCCCCGGUAAACGGCGGCCGUAACUAUAACGGUCCUAAGGUAGCGAAAUUCCUUGUCGGGUAAGUUCCGACCUGCACGAAUGGCGUAAUGAUGGCCAGGCUGUCUCCACCCGAGACUCAGUGAAAUUGAACUCGCUGUGAAGAUGCAGUGUACCCGCGGCAAGACGGAAAGACCCCGUGAACCUUUACUAUAGCUUGACACUGAACAUUGAGCCUUGAUGUGUAGGAUAGGUGGGAGGCUUUGAAGUGUGGACGCCAGUCUGCAUGGAGCCGGCCUUGAAAUACCACCCUUUAAUGUUUGAUGUUCUAACGUUGGCCCCUGAUCGGGGUUGCGGACAGUGUCUGGUGGGUAGUUUGACUGGGGCGGUCUCCUCCUAAAGAGUAACGGAGGAGCACGAAGGUUGGCUAAUCCUGGUCGGACAUCAGGAGGUUAGUGCAAUGGCAUAAGCCAGCUUGACUGCGAGCGUGACGGCGCGAGCAGGUGCGAAAGCAGGUCAUAGUGAUCCGGUGGUUCUGAAUGGAAGGGCCAUCGCUCAACGGAUAAAAGGUACUCCGGGGAUAACAGGCUGAUACCGCCCAAGAGUUCAUAUCGACGGCGGUGUUUGGCACCUCGAUGUCGGCUCAUCACAUCCUGGGGCUGAAGUAGGUCCCAAGGGUAUGGCUGUUCGCCAUUUAAAGUGGUACGCGAGCUGGGUUUAGAACGUCGUGAGACAGUUCGGUCCCUAUCUGCCGUGGGCGCUGGAGAACUGAGGGGGGCUGCUCCUAGUACGAGAGGACCGGAGUGGACGCAUCACUGGUGUUCGGGUUGUCAUGCCAAUGGCACUGCCCGGUAGCUAAAUGCGGAAGAGAUAAGUGCUGAAAGCAUCUAAGCACGAAACUUGCCCCGAGAUGAGUUCUCCCUGACUCUUUAAGGGUCCUGAAGGAACGUUGAAGACGACGACGUUGAUAGGCCGGGUGUGUAAGCGCAGCGAUGCGUUGAGCUAACCGGUACUAAUGAACCGUGAGGCUUAACCUUACAACGCCGAAGGUGUUU